rnacentral:rRNA from 1 species
UGGGGAAUUUUGCACAAUGGGGGAAACCCUGAUGCAGCGACGCCGCGUGAUUUAGAAGGCCUUCGGGUUGUAAAAAUCUUUUUUAUGGGAUGAAAAUGACAGUACCAUAAGAAUAAGGUCCGGCUAAAUACGUGCCAGCAGCCGCGCUAAUACGUAUGGACCGAGCGUUGUCCGGAAUCAUUGGGCGUAAAGGGUACGUAGGCGGCCCAGUAAGUUAGAAGUGAAAUAAUAUAGCUCAACUAUAUAAAGCUUUUAAAACUGCUAGGCUUGAGAGAUGGAAGGGAAAGUGGAAUUCCUAGUGUAGCGGUGAAAUGCGCAGAUAUUAGGAAGAAUACCGGUGGCGAAGGCGACUUUCUGGUCAUCAUCUGACGCUGAGGUACGAAAGCGUGGGUAGCAAACAGG